rnacentral:rRNA from 1 species
UAAAGCUACAAAGAGCUAAUGGGGAAUGCCUUGGUACUGACAGCCGAUGAAGGACGUGUAAAGCUGCGAUAAGCUGCGGGGAACUGCUAAAAGGUCUUGAUCCGCAGAAAUCCGAAUGGGGAAACCCUAUCAAGUUAAAACUUGAUAACUCACAAGUGAAUACAUAGCUUGUGUAGAGGAAAGCCUGUGAACUGAAACAUCUUAGUAACAGGACGAAGAGAAAAUAACCCAAUGAUUCCGAGAGUAGCGGCGAGCGAAAUUGGAAGAGCCUAAAUUGUGUGUACGUGAUAGCCUGCAAGCGUUGUGCACAUGAGGUUGUGGGACUUGCAUCAUAUUUUGCAGAAUAUGGAUUGAGUUAGAAAAUUAUUUAUUAGUUAAAGUCAACUGGGAAGUUGCGCCAUAGAGAGUGAUAGCCUCGUAAACGACAAUAAAUAAUCUCAAGUAAGUAUCCCGAGUAAGGCGGGGCACGUGAAACCCUGUCUGAAUCCACCGGGACCAUCCGGUAAGGCUAAAUACUAGUCAGUGACCGAUAGUGAACGAGUACAGUGAUGGAAAGGCGAAAAGAACAGUGAGAAGCUGAGUGAAAUAGACCCUGAAACCGUUAGCUUACAACCAGUCAGAGCACAAUUAAUUGUGUGAUGGCGUGCCUGUUGAAGAAUGAGCCGGCGAGUUAUUUUUUGUUGCGAGGUUAAGGAGAUCAUAUCCGGAGCCACAGGGAAACCGAGUCUGAAUAGGGCGUUAAGUAACAGGAAAUAGACCCGAACCUUGGUGAUCUAACCUUGACCAGGAUGAAGCGUGGGUAACACUACGUGGAGGUCCGAACCAACCGAUGUUGAAAAAUCGGUGGAUGAGUUGAGGUUAGGGGUGAAAUGCCAAUCGAACCAAGAGCUAGCUGGUUCUCCCCGAAAUGCGUUUAGGCACAGCGUUGGAUUUAUCUUGCAGGAGGUAGAGCACUGGUUUUGUGCGGGCGUCGAAAUGAUGUACCAAACAAUGUCAAACUCCGAAUACCUGUAAUGUCAUUAUCCAGCAGUGAGGCUAUGAGUGAUAAGAUCCAUGGCCAAGAGGGAAACAGCCCAGAACGCCAGUUAAGGUCCCUAAUAUAUGCUAAGUGGUUAAGGAGGUAGAGUUACUGAGACAACCAGGAGGUUGGCUUAGAAGCAGCCAUCCCUUGAAAGAGUGCGUAAUAGCUCACUGGUCAAGCGACUCCGCGCCGAAAAUACACCGGGACUAAAGCAUAUAACCGAAGCUGCGUCAUAUAGUUUACUAUAUGGGUAGGGGAGCGUACUGUAGUAAGACGAAGCUAGAGUGAAAACACUAGUGGAUGAGGCAGUAGUGAGAAUGUCGGCAUAAGUAGCGAAAACAUUGGUGAGAAUCCAAUGCACCGAAAACCUAAGGUUUCCCACGGCAGGCUCGUCCGCGUGGGGUUAGUCGGAUCCUAAGCUCAGGCCAAACGGCGUAGGCGAUGGACAAUAGGUUGAUAUUCCUAUACUAUCUGAUAAUCGUUAUCAGAAGCGGAGGGACGCAAGAGGAUAAGCACGCAGUCGACUGGAAGAGACUGUAUAAGCGUGUAGCUAGGUUUGACAGGAAAAUCCGUCAAAUCGUUAAUGUGAGGCGUGAUGUGGAGAGUCUACGGACUCGAAGGUGUUGACUCCAAAUUGCCAAGAAAAUCUUCGCUCUCGAGAUUAUUGGGUAUCCGUACCGUAAACCGCCACAGGUAGGUUAGUAGAACAUACUAAGGUGCGCGAGACAACUCUCGCUAAGGAACUCGGCAAAAUCACCUCGUAACUUCGGGAGAAGAGGUACCCUGGUAGCGUGAAGCGAUUUACUCGUGAAGCGUGAUAGGGUCGCAGUGAAUUGGCCCAUGCGACUGUUUACCAAAAACACAGGUCUCUGCUAAGUCGAUCAAGACGAUGUAUAGGGGCUGACGCCUGCCCGGUGUCGGAAGGUUACGUGGAAGGGUUAGUAGUAAUACGAAGCUCUGAAACUAAGCCCCGAUGAACGGCGGCCGUAACUAUAACGGUCCUAAGGUAGCGAAAUUCCUUGUCAGGUA